UACAGAGGGUGCAAGCGUUAAUCGGAAUUACUGGGCGUAAAGCGUGCGUAGACGGUUAUGUAAGUCAGGUGUGAAAGCCCCGGGCUCAACCUGGGAAUGCCAUUUGAGACUGCAUGAGCUAGGGUACGGAAGAGGGAAGCGGAAUUUCGAGGUGUAGCGGUGAAAUGCGUAGAUAUCUGAAGGAACACCAGUGGCGAAAGCGGCUUCCUGGUCCAGUACCGAACGUUCAGGCACGAAAGCGUGGGGAGCAAACAGGAAUUAGACUACGG
rnacentral:rRNA from 1 species